GAACAUGCCAAGUUUGUCUUUUUGUUUGUUUGUUUUUUUAAGACAGAGUCUUACUCUGUUGCCCAGGUUGAAGUGCAGUGAAGUUUUUCUACUUUUUUGAUGUAGGUGCUUAUAAGUAUAAACAUCCCUCUUAGUACUGCUUUCAGUGUAUCCCAUAGAUUUUGGUAUGCUGUGUUUCCAUGAUCAUUUGUUUCAAGAAAUUUUGCAGUUUUCUUCUUAAUUUCUUCAUUGACCCCCUAAUCAUUCAGGAGCAAAUUGUUUAAUUUCCAUGAGUUUGUAUAGUUUCCAAAAUUCCUCUUGUUAUUAUUUUCUGGUUUUAUUCCAUUGUGGUCAGAGAACACACUUGAUAUUAUUUCCAUGUUUUUGAAUGUUUUAGGACUUGUUUGGUGGCCUAACGUAUGGUCUAUCCUUAAGAAUGAUGCAUGUGCUGAGGAAAAGGAUGUGUAUUCUACAGCUGUUGGAUGAAAUGUUCUGUAAAUAUCUAUUAGAUCCAUUUGGUCUGCAGUAUAGAUUAAGUUUGAUGUUUCUUUGCCGAUUUUCU
rnacentral:lncRNA from 1 species